CCUAGAACUCACUAUGUAGCCCAGGCUGGUUUUGAACUCACAGAGAUCCUCCUGCCUCAGCCUCCGGAGUGCUAGGAU
rnacentral:miRNA from 1 species